UACGUAGGGUGCAAGCGUUGUCCGGAAUUAUUGGGCGUAAAGAGCUCGUAGGCGGUUUGUCGCGUCUGCUGUGAAAUCUGGAGGCUCAACCUCCAGCCUGCAGUGGGUACGGGCAGACUAGAGUGCGGUAGGGGAGACUGGAAUUCCUGGUGUAGCGGUGGAAUGCGCAGAUAUCAGGAGGAACACCGGUGGCGAAGGCGGGUCUCUGGGCCGUUACUGACGCUGGAGGAGCGAAAGCGUGGGAGCGAACAGG
rnacentral:rRNA from 1 species